UGGCGGCGUGCUUAANACGAUGCAAGUCGAACGAAGAUGCCGGAGUGCUUGCACUUUGGCAGACUGAGUGGCGGACGGGUGAGUAACGCGUGGGUAACCUGCCCUUAUACAGGGGGAUAACAGUUGGAAACGACUGCUAAUACCGCAUAAGCGCACGGUAUCGCAUGAUACAGUGUGAAAAACUCCGGUGGUAUAAGAUGGACCCGCGUCUGAUUAGCUUGUUGGUGAGGUAACGGCCCACCAAGGCGACGAUCAGUAGCCGGCCUGAGAGGGUGAACGGCCACAUUGGGACUGAGACACGGCCCAAACUCCUACGGGAGGCAGCAGUGGGGAAUAUUGCACAAUGGGGGAAACCCUGAUGCAGCGACGCCGCGUGAGUGAUGAAGUAUUUCGGUAUGUAAAACUCUAUCAGCAGGGAAGAUAAUGACGGUACCUGACUAAGAAGCACCGGCUAAAUACGUG
rnacentral:rRNA from 1 species